rnacentral:rRNA from 1 species
GCGAAUCGCCCUUCGGGGUGCCCAGGCGCGAAAACCCCCAAUGUACGACAGUACGAUGGGGUUAUCUCGAGUGCAGUCCGAUAAGGGCUGCUUUUCCAUAGAGUAAUAUCCUGUGGGAAUAAGAGGGGGGCAAGACUGGUGUCAGCCGCCGCGGUAACACCAGCCCCUCGAGUGGUGGGGACUAUUAUUUGGUCUAAAGCGUCCGUAGCUGGCUGUAUCCGUCCCCCGUUAAAUCCAGCGUCCUAAGCGUUGGACCGCGGGUGAUACCAUACAGCUAGAGGGUGGGAUAGGUGAGCGGUAUUUCUGGGGUAGGGGCGAAAUCCUUUGAUCCCAGGAGGACCACCAGUGGCGAAGGCUGCUCACUAGAACACGCCUGACGGUCAGGGACGAAAGCUGGGGCAGCGAACCGGAUUAGAUACCCGGGUAGUCCCAGCUGUAAACGAUGCCAGCUAGGUGUUGGGUCGGCCACGCGCCGCCCCAGUGCCGCAGGGAAGCCGUUAAGCUGGCCACCUGGGGAGUACGGCCGCAAGGCUGAAACUUAAAGGAAUUGGCGGGGGAGCAC